CGUUGAAAACUACUCUCAGGAGAGUAGAAUUCUACUCACUUUACGAUUUCAUUGAAAAUUCAAAAAAGAGAGUGACAGCAUUCUUCUAAACAGAGUGAUUUUCCACUCACACGUUUGAAUUUUGGACAAUACUCAUUUUUGAGUAACUUGGUAUUUUUUCCAAAGUGAGCUGUUUUUCACUCACCCGCUCAAAUUUAUGGCAGAAUUCUAUUUUUGAGUAACAUUAUUCAAAUUUCGUGCCGGUAACUGCCAUUACGAAGUCCUGACGUCUUGCCAAUAAAAUUAUAUAACAUAAAUAUCUCUACGUGAAAUUCUUCUAAAUUAUGGAAAACCACAUCUGUUGUUCAGCAGGCAUUCUAACAGACGGCAAGGCAAACAUGUCUCAAACAUGUAGAAAUUUAUCUUUUUUGAAGCAAACAGUCAUUUAAUAAAAGAGGGCAAGGCUAUGCGUGUCUCGGAGUGUCCCGUGAACUGCGGUUGCAGCGUAAGGUCACCGAAGGAUCACCACAACCACGAAGGAUCUUGCAGAGCAUAGUUGUUUAAUUUUCAUCAACAGACAUUAAUAAUUAAAUAAAUGUUCGAUUUUGUUGCUUUUUGUAAUUUUCUUUUGAUUUUUUUUUUCAUGGUAGAAAAAGAACACAACAAAGAAAAAAAAAUUACAUCUACUCACUUUUUAAAUUUGCGGUUUUACAAGUUACUCACUUUCUACUCACUUUUGAUAAAAUCAAAAGUUACUCUAAAGUGAGUGAAGGCAGAUUACUCUAUUUUGAGCUGUUCCACUUUGUACCAAAGUGAGUCGAAAACGACUCACU